CAAAAAGACAGCAGUAACCUCUGCAGACUUAAAUGUCCCUGUCUGACAGCUUUGAAGAGAGGAGUGGUUCUCCCAGCACGCAGCUGGAGAUCUGAGAACCGGCAGACUGCCUCCUCAAGUGGGUCCCUGAACCCUGACCCCCGAGCAGCCUAACUGGGAGGCACCCCCCAGCAGGGGCACACUGACAUCUCACACGGCAGGGUAUUCCAACAGAUCUGCAGCUGAGGGUUCUGUCUGUUAGAAGGAAAACUAACAAACAGAAAGGACAUCCACACC
rnacentral:lncRNA from 1 species